CGUUGAAAUACCAGUUCUUGUACGUUCACUGAAGUUAAGCAACGUCGAUCCAGGUCAGUACCUAGAUGGGUAACCGCUUAGGAAUACCAGGUGCUGUAAG